AUUGAACGCUGGCGGCAUGCUUUACACAUGCAAGUCGAACGGUAACAGGCCGCAAGGUGCUGACGAGUGGCGAACGGGUGAGUAAUGCAUCGGAACGUGCCCAGUCGUGGGGGAUAACGCAGCGAAAGCUGUGCUAAUACCGCAUACGAUCUGUGGAUGAAAGCGGGGGACCUUCGGGCCUCGCGCGAUUGGAGCGGCCGAUGUCAGAUUAGGUAGUUGGUGGGGUAAAGGCUCACCAAGCCAACGAUCUGUAGCUGGUCUGAGAGGACGACCAGCCACACUGGGACUGAGACACGGCCCAGACUCCGACGGGAGGCAGCAGUGGGGAAUUUUGGACAAUGGGCGCAAGCCUGAUCCAGCAAUGCCGCGUGCAGGAAGAAGGCCUUCGGGUUGUAAACUGCUUUUGUACGGAGCGAAAAGGCUCCCUCUAAUACAGGGGGCUCAUGACGGUACCGUAAGAAUAAGCACCGGCUAACUACGUGCCAGCCGCCGCAGUAACAC
rnacentral:rRNA from 1 species